UUUAUGUAGUUUUAAUCUUGCAAAAUAUUUUCCAUUCAGGAAAUGAGUAAAGUUUUUCAGGAGACUUCAAAAUCUGCAGAAUAAGGGUCAAGGGUUGCCACUUUAGCCUGAGGGGAGGAAAAGCACAUGUGACACUGGAUCCAGACACGGCUAAUAGUCAUUAUUGGGUUAAAGGUGAAUGGAGAUUGGGACUGACAGCUGAACUACAAACUUGCUUUAUCCUGUUUUGCAGGAAGCAAUGAGUGAACGAGCUUGGCGACCCCCUCCAUCCGCCACCUUCGGAGGUUCAGAAACCCACUUCCUGGUACUUCAUCUCAAGGUGCCUCUAUGCGUACACCACACAAACAGGAAACAGCCCUCUUUCAUCAGCCUCAAACUGCAUGCACUUCAUGUUCUUCUGAAAGGGUGCAGCAACGAAAAAGGUGUGCAUCACUAACGCUCACCUGAUUUAGCUUGAGAAGCCUUUCCUUUGAAUUCGUUGUUUCUUUGCUUCUUAUCUUAUUAAAACCAAAUACGCAGAACAGUUUUGAAGUGGCAACAAGUUUCCAUCGCUUUCAUCUUGCUUCAGGCUUGCACCAAAUAAGACAGUAUGUGAUGUUUUAUACGCUGUGUGGCGUCUGCAGAUACAAGAACACUAUGCAACAUUGGUUUUGUUUGCCAAAAAGUCCCUUACAAAGAAAUAUAGAGUAUGAUAUCUUUCAAGUGAUGUUAAUUAAGUUUUAAGACCCUUGUUUCUUAUGAACAAAUUCUUGUAGAAUUCAAAUGAAAUGCAUGCAAACAGGCUUUUUCAAAGUUUCUAAAAGGGGUAAUGCAUAGAAACAUUCAUCUGCAAUCCAAGCAAUUUUCACUGUGUUGUUCCCAAACAGAACACCCAUCUUUGCACAGGUAAAACAUUCCAUAAAGCCACAAAAAAGAGGCCUUUUAAUAAGCAAUUACUCUCCAUCAGUAGCAUUUAAAUAUACAUGUUAUAUCACCUCAUCUUUUUAAGCUGACUCCUUAAGAGCACCUUUGUAUAACUCACUUCUAAACAAGCUGUUGCAUCGUGGUUGCUGUUGAUCAUUGCUUUAUUUUAUAGGAACCGUGAAUGCUCUUUGGUUUUGGAUGUGUUUUGCACAUAAUCAAGAACUUUCUUUGCUUUAUCGUGGCCACCAGCAUGUUUUUAGACCAUUUCCAGCUAGUCUAAAAUGGGAUGGGGGAGUAGGUUGGUGGGUGAUGAAGAAGGGAGGGACCUAAGGAUCAAGACAAGAUUCCACAAGGCCCAGGUUCUCAGGGAUAAAGCAACAAGGAAGCCUCCAUGGGUCAGCUGUGAUGGGUCAGCACCCACCAUUGUAUGGAGGGAGUUCCUGUUGCUGCUCCGUUUUUUUUGCAAUCUGAGAGAAUAUAAACAUGGACAGACGGGAAGUGUCCAGAGACCGAGGAAAUGCAGAAGCGGUGCGGAUGUUGAGUCGAGUGCAUAAAGUGGAAGUUGCUACUGAAAUUGAAUACCACUCUGCUCACAUUAAUGGUCAACUUGUGAUUGUUAUCUGUAUUUAUUCUCAAUGUAAAAACAGUAUAUAUCAAAUUAACCCCAAGGCAUAUUGUGUUGUUUAACUAUGACUGCACCGUUUAUCCCCCUUUUUACCCGAAAUAUCCUUGUGUACAUAUUGAUUAGGUCACAACCUCAGCAAAUCUGUUUUUUAUUCUUGGAAACUUUAUGGUAACAGCUCCCCCUGAUCAAUAUUUCUGCUGAAACUAAGUAUGCCAGGUCUUUGUGUAAUCAAGCCUGCUCAGACUUUGACUAUCCCCGGGUCAAUACCCCUGGCUGCUGCCUGCACAGCUCACCAAUCAACUCGCACCACAGCGAAACUCCCUUUAGUUCUGUAUUAUGCAUCGAAAAAGCACUCACCUGAUUUCAGCCUCAAAUAUAAUACUGUGUCCCACUGUUGUUAAAACCCAAGUUUCCAGAGUCUGACUGUGAGUAUGAUGUUACCAAAUGUAACUGUAGUUUCUUUUUCCUUCACAUUUUGGGCAAAUGGCAACAUUUAAAGUAUGCAGUAUUAAUCAUUAGCUUCCUCACAGCAAUUAUUGGAUUUUUUGAUACUGAAGAAACUUGAAUACUGAUUAAGCUCUGGAAUUGUAAGGUUUUAGAAUAAGACAGAUUUUUUUUUUUAACUCACAUUCAUGGGAAGCCCUCUAGAGUUUGAAUGGGUACCCAAAACUGAGCAUAGACGUGCCCCAUAUUUGCCCAGUUUCCCAGAACUUUUUACACACCACUCAUCACAAAGUUGAACUUUUCAAAAAAUACAGGUUUAUUGACUUAACUGCAAUCAAUACUUACAAAAAGAGAGAGAG